rnacentral:rRNA from 1 species
GGCCUUUUGAGUAUGAUUUAAGGUCUAACCUGCCCAAUGAGUUUUUAAAUGGCCGCGGUAUUUUGACCGUGCAAAGGUAGCAUAAUCAUUAGUUUUUUAAUUAAAAGCUGGAAUGAAAGGUUGAAUGAAAAAAUAACUGUCUCUAUUUAAAUUUAUUAGAAUUUUAUUUUUAAGUAAAAAAGCUUAAAUUUCGUUAGAAGACGAGAAGACCCUAUAGAGUUUUAUUAAUGGUUUUUAUAAAAUUUUAGUAUUUAAGUUUUUGUAAUUAAAAUUAAUUUAGUUGGGGUGAUUAAAAAAUUUGAUAAACUUUUUUUUAAUUUAAACAUUUAUUUAUGAAUAUUUGAUCCUUUUUUUAAAGAUUAAAAGAUACAAUUACCUUAGGGAUAACAGCGUAAUUUUCCUAGAGAGUUCAAAUCGAAAGGAAAGAUUGCGACCUCGAUGUUGGAUUAAAAUAAAAUUUUGGUGUAGAAGCUAAAGUAUUUGGGUCUGUUCGACCUUUAAAAUUUUACAUGAUCUGAGUUUAAACCGGCGUGAGCCAGGUUGGUUUCUAUCUCUAUUAAUUGAAAAUGCCUUAGUACGAAAGGACCAGGCAUUUAAUUUAAAAUUUUAUUAUAGAACAAUAUUGUUAUUUUGGCAGACUAGUGCAAUAGAUUUAGAAUCUUUCAAUGUAAAUUAUUUUACAAAUAACACUUGAUAAUAAAGGAUUUAUUUUUGAUAUUUUUAUCUAGGUUAAUUUUAAUUGUCUGUGUUUUGGUAGGCUUGGCCUUUUUAACAUUGCUAGAACGUAAAGUUUU